CGCUUGUGAAAGAGUAACCACUUCUCUCUAAACUACAAAAAGAAGGUUUAUAUUUCAGUAAGCAUUGUUAAUGGGGAAGUCAAAGAACUUGGCUCUCUGGAAACUGAUUCUACUCCAACUGCCCGGAGCACAAAUCUUGCUUUGUUGACAUCAACGCAAGCUCUCCUGAGGACACACAAAGAAGAGAAGAAGCCAUUAGAAUUUCUCGUGACCCUGCUCCGAGACAAAUCCAGCUUCGCUUAAAUGAAUGAAAAUGCUUGUUACAUGGCUCAAGAAGCUACUUUGUCCAUUUGAAAAUUAAUUAGACCGUAGCUAGACGAACAACUGUAAGACGCUUUCACAAUGUUCUUAGAUGGAUGACCCUGGCUGAGUUCCCAAUUUUAACAAGUUUACCCUAAAGCGAAAACAUGGCCUUUUGGCUAAGCUAGUGCCUACAAUUAUAAUGCUUUCCUGAGUGGUAGCCAACUGUUCAGCACAGCCCCAUCAGAGAAGGGAGUUAGGAAGAAAGUACUUAAAACUUUUACGUGUAAUUGUAAUCGAUGUUCUUGAAAGAAAUUUUUUGUCUUAAGGAGCCAAUUUAGUUACACUUUUCACAACUGGACUUGGAGAAAAUGUUAAAAUCUUGUAUCUGUCAUGAUCCACUCUAGAUUCAGACUCCUUAAAGAAGUCUCUUCAGAAUGGGCAAAGCAGCUUCAUGAAGUCAUCAAAGACUCAGAUUUGUUGUUCACCAUUCUCAACACAUGGCUCUCACCUCAUGGUACAAGAUGACUGCUUGGGUUCCAGCCAUUACAGUUACACAAAGGAUGAAGAAACCGGCCACCAUGCUGAGAGAAACCCAGGCCACAUGGAAAGGCCACGUGUGGGCACUUUGGUCAACAGGCCCAGCUGAGCCAAGCCUUUGAGUCAUCGCAGCCCAGGCGCCAGACUUGUGAGUGAAGGAGGCUCCAGAUGAUUCUAACCCUCAGCUCCUGAGUCACCGCCAACUGCUGGAGUCUUCCCAGCUGAGGCCGCAGACAUCACGGAGCAGAGAAAACACGAGUCAUCCCAGCUAUGUCCUGUCCAAAUUCCUGGCCUACACAAUCGGAAUGGAAUGGAAUGGAAGCUUCUUCAUUUAAAUUCUGCACAGGAUGUGUAUUACGGAUUCAUGUUAGUAUAGGUGAGGACGUGAAGCCAUUGCUACUGAGCCUCAGAUGUGGCAGCAAAGAAUUAAGAGAUCAUCACCAUCUCUCUCUCAAUGUAAUGAAAAUCUAACUUCACAACACUCCUCUUAAUCGAGCUUUCCUCAUGCUACUUGGCUAUGCAUUAAAUCUUGGCAUACACAAAAAAUAAAAAC
rnacentral:lncRNA from 1 species